UCGGGAAUUUUGCUCAAUGGGGGAAACCCUGAAGCAGCAACGCCGCGUGAGGGAUGAAUGCCUUCGGGUUGUAAACCUCUUUUCCCAGGGACGAUGAUGACGGUACCUGGGGAAUAAGCCACGGCUAACUACGUGCCAGCAGCCGCGGUAAUACGUAGGUGGCAAGCGUUGUCCGGAUUUACUGGGCGUAAAGAGCGCGCAGGCGGUCGUUUAAGUCGAAUGUGAAAGCCCCCGGCUCAACUGGGGAGGGUCAUUCGAUACUGAUCGACUUGAAGGCAGGAGAGGAAAGUGGAAUUCCCGGUGUAGUGGUGAAAUGCGUAGAUAUCGGGAGGAACACCAGUGGCGAAGGCGACUUUCUGGCCUGUUCUUGACGCUGAGGCGCGAAAGCUGGGGGAGCAAACG
rnacentral:rRNA from 1 species